rnacentral:rRNA from 1 species
AGAGUUUGAUCCUGGCUCAGAUUGAACGCUGGCGGCAUGCUUUACACAUGCAAGUCGAACGGCAGCACGGGGGCAACCCUGGUGGCGAGUGGCGAACGGGUGAGUAAUACAUCGGAACGUGCCCGAUCGUGGGGGAUAACGCAGCGAAAGCUGUGCUAAUACCGCAUACGAUCUACGGAUGAAAGCAGGGGACCGCAAGGCCUUGCGCGGACGGAGCGGCCGAUGGCAGAUUAGGUAGUUGGUGGGAUAAAAGCUUACCAAGCCGACGAUCUGUAGCUGGUCUGAGAGGACGACCAGCCACACUGGGACUGAGACACGGCCCAGACUCCUACGGGAGGCAGCAGUGGGGAAUAUUGGACAAUGGGCGAAAGCCUGAUCCAGCCAUGCCGCGUGAGUGAAGAAGGCCUUCGGGUUGUAAAGCUCUUUCAGCCGGAAAGAAAUCGCGCAGGAUAAUACUCUGCGUGGAUGACGGUACCGGAAGAAGAAGCACCGGCUAACUACGUGCCAGCAGCCGCGGUAAUA